GAUCAUGGCUCGGGAUGAACGCUAGCUACAGGCUUAACACAUGCAAGUCGAGGGGCAGCAUGGUCUUAGCUUGCUAAGGCCGAUGGCGACCGGCGCACGGGUGAGUAACACGUAUCCAACCUGCCGUCUACUCUUGGACAGCCUUCUGAAAGGAAGAUUAAUACAAGAUGGCAUCAUGAGUCCACAUGUUCACAUGAAUUAAAGGUAUUCCGGUAGACGAUGGGGG
rnacentral:rRNA from 1 species